rnacentral:rRNA from 1 species
UACAGAGGGGGCGAGCGUUGUUCGGAAUUACUGGGCGUAAAGGGCGCGUAGGUGGCCUGUUAAGUCGAACGUGAAAUCCCCGGGCUCAACCCGGGAACUGCGUCCGAGACUGGCAGGCUCGAAUCCGGGAGAGGGAUGUGGAAUUCCAGGUGUAGCGGUGAAAUGCGUAGAUAUCUGGAGGAACACCGGUGGCGAAGGCGGCAUCCUGGACCGACACUGACACUGAGGAGCGAAAGCCAGGGGAGCAAACGGG